GGUUUACAUUGUUUACAUUGCGGUCUUGUUUUUGAGGAACCUUUCUGGAGGCUUCCUUCAUAUCUUUUCAUAGUUUCUCUGAAGAGUAAUAAGUUCAGAUCAUAUUGAUGACUCUGAAGUAGCUCAUCCCAAGGGUGCUACUAUUUUUAACCUUUGAUCCUUUGCUGUCCAUACCAAAGGAAAACGGAAAUGGCCCUGUUCAUGUAA
rnacentral:misc_RNA from 1 species